rnacentral:lncRNA from 1 species
CCCAAAAAAGGAAAAAGCCUUAAGACGUGGACUUUUCUAACACUUCAUAAACCGAAAGAGCCCGAAGACGUCGACUUCUGAUCUCCUCUGUUUUGAACGAAUUAGCAGAGAACUGCUGCGACGAGUUCAAAUAAUUAGAGAAAGACGUCGACUUCUCUCCUCUAUUUUGAACGAAUUAGCAUAGAACUGAUGCGAUGAAUUCAAAUAAUUAGAGAAUCUGUUCUACUCGUAAAAUUUAGUGAAUUAGAGAACGAAGCUACUCGUCACCUCCAUUGACAACAAUUGCUCAUCUUCGAGUUUCUUCUCAUCAAGGUAAGGUUCAAAAUUUUACCCUUUUAUAUGUGAAUUGAUUAAUAAUUUCGCUAAAAAAGGCAUCUGAACUAGGAGCAGGGACGAGAGAGGCUAGAGCAUAGAUUGUGAUUUGACUCCCCAUCUGUUGAGCGAUAUCUGUUUUGAACGAGCAACUACUAUAUCUCCUGUCACGAUUAAAUCAUUUUCUCUAACAACUUAUUCUGAAUGUCAAUUUCAUACUAUCGGUUUCACUAAGUGCCAAGUAUAACUGUCGAAAUAUCGGUCCUCCUAAAAUUAAAGUUGAUAAUUAUUAGCUGCUAUAUAACUAUAGAGUUGUGAUCACACUUGUAUGUAUAUGGAUAUUGGUGUUUACUUUGGUGAAAGAAUGACACAUAAUACAAAAAAUGUUUCUCUCUAUAAAUUGUCUGAUUCUACGGUGAGGUUUGCUGGUUAAUUGCGUAUUUCAAUUUGAUCCAUUGUUGAUUUUCAAUCUUGGCCUCUCAUCCCUUUUAUAUACGAUGGCUUGCUUGAAUGGAAAUUUUUUGUGAAACUUUUUUCUUGUUUUAAACUAUACAAAUUUGAUCAGAGGUAUGGGGUAUGAGAAUUGGCCAAGUUAUUUGGUAGUGUGUCUCUGUUUUCAAUCUCUAUUAUAGUGCAAAAGAUUAGUAUGAAAGAAUGAGCACGGUCAAGUUGGCAUUGAUAUGGAUCAGCCCCUUUCUGUGUUGUUUUAGACAUAGCCGAUUUUAUAGUUAUAUUUUUGUUGCAUUGCACAUUGAAAUUGAAAAUUGCAAAUUAAGCUAAUAUCUAGGAUUCCAUUCCUAACUGAGAUAAAUAGAACAUUUAAAUUAAUUCUGAAAUCUGGACAAUAUCUUACUAAACCGAGUUCGAUGUGUUCGUUGUGAUUGAAAACAAAUCAUCGAUUCCUUAUGUCAUUUAUUUUUCAGCAUUUUGUUAGAUAUAGUGGACAAUGUCCAUUUGAUGACUUAGUAUCAUUUGAAUUUUUAUUUUUAUGAGAGACGUCCGAUAAGGAGAUAUCUCGUUUCUUGCUUUUUGAAAAUAGAUUAAUAGCAUUAGAAGUCAGUCCUACUUAAAUAUUUUGGAAAACAUAGUAUUGUCAAGGAGAAACUUGCAGCAUGUGUUAAUCGUGUACCAGGCAAGCACAACUCCUAAUUAGUAAUCUAACUAGCUAAUGUAACCUUCAUUUUUCUAUCUUUCACCAACUAGAUGAUCCAUUUGUCAAAGUAUCUUUGCCGUCAUUUGCCUAUUUAGACCUUAGCAAUUCAGCUUCAAUUCAACAUGCUGCUAUUACUGUUGUGCUUGAGAAAAUGUUGUACACUCUUAUUGUCAUGAAUUGAAUUAUAGUACAGAGUGCUAAUUCAUCUUCAUUUCCUAGUCUCACUUUGCAUUGGAACUUAGAAGUUUGAUUCAUGUACUGUCUCGUCAGUGAUAUAAAGCAUUGUUGGUUACAAGAUUGUUAACCAUGGAGUGCUUUAUAUCUUUUAGUUUCUUUAUAAUGUGCGAUACAGAACUUGGAUAUAUGAACUCAAUAUACUAUUGUUUCACUUGUUUGCUGGGCUGCUACGACGUUGAAAUUAUUGAUGUCCACUUUUUUCGUUUUCUCUUUAGAGAAACUACAUUCCCAAAAGAUCAAUACUACAAAUAAUUGAAGGGAUAUGCAUUGAAAUUUUGUAAAAUGUCUUGUCAACACCAUUUUUUUCAUCUUCUCGAGUCGAAGGUCUUGAUGCCUUGUUUUUAUUAGGUAAUGUAUGAUUUCGAGUCUCCACUGUCCAAUCUCACCCUUUUGAUUGUUGCCCAGUUUGCGCAUCAGCAGCUCCUAUAUUUUGGACUGGUGUAACAUUAGGUUCACGUAUCCCAGCUUUCUUCUCCUUCAUACCUGGUGUAUCAAAAGCAUUUGAACAGCUGAUAUUUUGUGCAGCAGUGCUCUGAUUUUUGUGACUUGGUGCAUUCUUUUUGCUAGGUGAUAGGUGUGCUCAAUUUAGUACUGUCCAGUCUCCUCCCUUAGACUGCUGCACACAUUGAACACCAGAUUUUAAAGCAUCAACUGCCUCUAUGUGCACUGCAACAGAUGUCUCUUGAGUCUUGGGCACCUGCUUUCCAGUUUUGAGCACCCCAGUUCUCCUCUCCUUCUCACUAACUUUCUGAACAUUAGUCUACACCACGACUGGUUUGGUUAUUGUAUUAGCUUGAUCACCAAUCCCAUCCACCUUAGUAUUAGUUUGAAAAUCUGAAUUCACAGCCUUGUCCUUGACCAUUAGUACUUUGGCCAACUCCUGUAGCUGUUGAAUUAGCACCUCGAUCAACCUUAGAGUUUUUAGCAGCCUGCAUCUCACCUGUCAACUCCUGAGAAUCCCUACCUACGGCUGUUUCAAUAGGGACUAUGGCAAUCCUAGUAGCAGCAGUUGUAUGUGUAGUUUUACCAUUAAUUUUAGUUGAUUCCAAGCCUCUUUCAUCAGCAAUCUUCUGCAACUUUUUUACAUCCAACGGUUGCCUCAAAUCACCUUGAAAUCGAUCAUCACCACCUGUCCCAACCUCCAAUGUAUAUCUUUAUCUCUUUGCAUGUUACUGCUAGUAAUAUUUGUAUUCAAACAACAAUUAACCUCUUGUUAUAGUUUAUUCAAAUAAGUUUACUGACCAUUAAUAUGCUCAUAACAUAAAAAGCAUAUGAGAGGAAGUCUAAAAGACAUACAAGUGCAGGUAGACAUAGUAAAAAGUACUGGUUCAUUUUUUGGUAAGCUGGUGGAAGAUUGCCAAAUAGUAUUUAGGAGCAUUGGUUGAGAUUCAUGACAUUUAUUUUGGUUUUGUGUCAGGGGAAAUUUUGGAAAGGUGACAAAGUAUAUUUCGGGUCAAAUAAUGAUUGGGUAAUUUGGUAUAAGUUAGUCUGGUACUUCGCUAGUCUUGUCUCCUGGCUGGGUUUGCAUUAUUUUUACUUUUCAUUAUUUUGGUAAGACGGGUUUCUUACAAUUUGGAUUGGUUUCUAGUAAAUAUGAUACUUUAGUUCUUUGUAUUAACAAGAUAUCAAAUAUUUGAUUUAUUUUCCAAUGUCGUUAAGCGUGUAUGAAAGCAUAUAAAUAAUUAUUACUAUUCAUGUAAUUUAAAUUUAUAUUAUAUUUAUUACAUUUUCAUAUUAGCGAAGACAAAUGUGGUCAUUAAAACUCUUUAACGACGGGUUUCUCAAACAGAUAAAUGACUAUUAACGAAGAGAAUUUUGGUUGUUAAAAGUAAUUAUACAAUUAACGAAGGAAAUACCGGUCGCUAAAAGCACUCGAAUUGACUUAAUACAUUGUUGUCAUUAAAGACUUUUAACGACCGGAUAACAAAUUAGCGAGGGGAAAAUCUUGUCGCUAAAAAGUAUGUUUAACGAUCAAAAAUUACAUCGUCGCUAAAGAUCCUUUAACGACCGGAUUGUAAACCGGUCGUUAACUUAUAACGUCGGCACUUUUAAUGACCGAUGACGAUCGGAUUUUUUUCGGUCGUUAUCAACUGAUAACGAUCAAAAUUGGACUUUUAACAACCAGAUUUUCCCUCGCUAAAGCCCCAUUUUCUUGUAGUGAUUUUAGAAAUAGCUGGUUUUUAUUUAGUGCAUAAAUAGGAAGUAAAAGUUUAAAUAAAAUGAGAGAUAAAUAAUUUUAAGAGCAAAUGAGAUGAGUAAAUAUCCAAAAAUCAUCAUGUGUCUACUAGCAUCAUCUCCAAGAUCAUGUGUCAUAAGUGUAUGAGCUCCUAGUAGAAUAUACAAAAAUACUACGCUGUUGUAUGAAGUGAAAUAGACAGAAAGUAAAAGCAAAAGGAAGACUUCGGGUGCUGCAGAACGGGCUCGGAAGGCAGUUCACCGCAAAGUCUCGUGGAAGUCAAGGAUGCACACCGAACUGAUAACCAGAUGCACCUACCUCAGAUCCUCCACAAUUAGUGUAGAAGUAUAGCGUGAGUACAUAAACAACAUGUACCCAGUAAGUAUCCAGUCUAACCUCGAAGAAGUAGUGACGAGGGGUCGACUUCGACACUUACUAUGGGCUAACAAUAAAAUACCGAAAUUAUAAUUAAGCAUGGGCUAUAUAAAUACAGCUAAAAACUCAAUAACAGGAAAUAAAUAAACAAUUUUCUCGCAAAUAGUAAAUCCCAAAUUAAUUUUCAUCAUUUAACAAGUUAAUCUCUCAAGCCAAUAAAACAAUAUCAAUUAUAAUUGGGCUCCGAGAAUUAUUACGCACGAAUUAUACCGAGGUCAUACGUCCCGAUCCAACAUACAAAUAUAUAUAAACUGUGUGCCGAGGGUCGAACGACACGAACCAUAGAUGCAUCUAUUCUAUUGUCGAGGCGUCCGACCCACUCCACAAGAAGAGAAAACAACCGAUUCAAAGAUUAGUAAGAGGCUAAUAUUCAAAGAAGCACCAAUUCUUAUUAAUGGUCAAGUAACCCAUCCAAAACUCGAGUAAAUAAAAUUAGACCUUUUACAAUUCUUCUAUCAAGUCCCAAUAUGAUUUAAGCACUUAAAUUAACAAGUAGGGUGCAAUCAUCACAAGUAUAAUAUGCUCUGGAUCAUAAACUACCGGACAUAAGCAUAAUUACUAGCUACGCAAGGACUCUCGUCACCUCGUGCGUAGCCCCCACAAAUAGAAGCCCAUAUUAAUUCAAUUUUCUAUGGGGUUAAUUCCCUCUUACAAGGUUAGAAAAGAGACUUAUCUCGUCUCAAAACUUACUUCCCGGUCCAUAAAUGUGCUUUAAACUCUCAACCCUGUGCCAAAUGACUCGAAAUUAGUCAAAUGUCAUAUAAAAUAAUCAAUACGUGCUCAAAAGUUCAUAUUCUAACUAUUAAAGUGAUUACCCAAUUCCAAUUAAAGAAUUCCUAAAAUUCAUCCCCGGGCCUACCUGCCUGGAUUCUGGAAACUUUCGAAGAAAAUUGUUACCCAUAACCUCGUGAACUCAAAUAUAUGAUUCUCACAAAAUUCCAUAACUAUUUUUUGUGGUUAAAUCCUAUUUUUAUCAAAAACCUAGGGUUUUCAUCUAAACCCAUUAUUUCACAAAUUUUACAUGUUAAAUCUACCCAUAAUCUUUAUAUUUAACUCACAUUAUAUAGAAAUUACUUACCUCAAAGUGUCAAGUGAAAACCCCUCUCUAAGAGCUCCAAAAAUCCCCAAGGAAUGAAAUAAAUGAACUCAAAUGCCUAAAUCCCGAAUUAAAUGAAGUAUUAUGCCUUCUGCGAUUUUCACAUCUGCGGUCAGGGGGCCGCAACUGCGGUCUCACUUCUGCGACACCAAGUCCACUUCUGUGGAGCUCCACAGGACCAGUGUUGGCCGCAUCUGCGGACGUGUUUCCAUUUUUGUGGUCUCACUUCUGCGGCUUCUCAUCGUAGAAGCAGGGUCGCUUCUGCGGAUCCUGGUCAAACGCUCCAAGCCGCUUCUGCUGCCAAAAUGCCGCAUCUGCGGGCUCGCACCUGCGGUCAAAAGCUUGCAGGUGCGGGCACACCAGAACUGGUGCACCAGCAGUCCCUCUUGAGUUCUAACUCAACUCGCGCAUCGUUCGAAUGGCAUCCGGGGCCCCUAAGGCCCCGCCCAAACAUACUAACAAGUUUGAAAUCAUAAGGCGGACUCGCUUGUACCCUUAGAACGCGUAAAGCAACAUCAAAACUAAGAAUCACGCCCCAUACCGAAUUGAAUCAAGAUAUGAACUUCAAGUUCUUCCAACUAACUCCGAAUGCGUCGGACAUACUUAGACUACUCGGAAUGACACCAAAUUUUGCAUGCAAGUCUUAAAUCACCAUACGGUUAUUCCCGAUCUCGAAAUUCCAAUUGGACCUCGAUAACACCAAAACCUACUCCAAACCAAACUUAAAGAACUUUAAAACUUUCAAAGAGCCAACUUUCACUACUAGGCGCCAAAACGCUCCCAGGUUAUCCAAAAUCCGGUUCGAAUAUAUACCCAAGUCCGAAAUCAUCAUACGAACCUAUUGCAACCGUCAAAUCCCGAUUCCGAGGUCGUUUACCCAAAAUGUUGACCGAGGUCAAACUUAGCCUUUUAAAGACAAACCAAAGAACCAAGUGUUCCGAUUUCAACCCGAACCCUUCCAAAUCACGAACUAACCAUCCCCGCAAGUCAUAAAACAGCAAAAGCACCUACAAGGAGUCUUAUUUAGGGGAACAAGGUUCUAAAAAGUAAAACGACCGGUCGGAUCAUUACAUACGUUGUCUAUAUUACAUGCAAGUGAUCCUGGCUAUUUGCUUCCGCCGUUUGUUCCUGUUUUCCAUCAAUUGGUGCCAGAGUCUGCUUGUAUCUAAUUAGAUUACACUGAAUGGUCAUAUAUUUGUGCACGUUGAUAUAUAUUUGAAAUCUUUAUUUUUCUUUCGAAUUUGAUUCGACGGAUGAAAAGCAUGGUGUAUAUGAUUGUAUGUUGUUGAUGCAAUUGCGGGUUUUUUAAACCCCUGUUUUGCCAUCUUAAAUUUUAACUAAUAAUCAUAUUAUAAGAAUUUGCCGUUGAGGUUUUCUGUGCUGGUGGCGGAGUUAAAGCCAAAUUUCUUGCCAACUAGGUUUGAGUUUUAACCCAAAGAUUGCUGCCUGUGAUUAUAUCCGGUGGCGCACUGUGUUAGUUUAUUAAAAAUUCACGUUGGCAGCAAGAAACUUAAUUAUUUCCGAUUUAUUUGGUCAAUCUGCCAUGGUUGAUCACUAGAAUAUCAUGAGGCAUUGGGUUUAAAAUUGCACAUGAUCAUGUAUGUAUUAUUUUCUCAGUAAGUAAAAAACAAGUAAUUGUUUUUCUGGGAGUAUUGAUUGGUUACCAAUUUUGACUUGCUGAAUUACUAUAAAGAAAGAUGAUACAACUGCAAGGUUUAGGUGGCGGCAGUGAGUAUAUUUUCAUUAAAAUUAGAUUACAAUCUGUACUUCUCAAAAGGUUGCUUGGCAAGGUGAAACCUUAUUCUUUCCCAAAUUGUAUUGUGGUGGCAGUACGGUGCUAAAAUUAUUUUUAUAGAAUAAUAUGAAUAAAGUAAAACAAGAGAAAUUUAGAGGGAGAUAAUACUAUAUCUUUUCUUGAUGAUUUUAUUACAAAUGAGUAGAGAAGUCUCUUAUUUAUAAGAGAGUUGCUGGGUUAUCAAGUAACUAGUCUUGGUGGCCAAGUAACAAAUCUUGGCAAGCAAGUAACCAAUCUUAGUAACCAAGUAACUAGACUAGUUUAUGACUAACUAACUUGCUUUCAAGUAACUUCAUAACACAUGGAUAUUCACUCUUAAUAUUAUUUAUAACACUCCCCCUUGAAUGUCCAUUAGUAGAAAAUGUGACUCGUUAAAACCUUACUAGGAAAAACCCAGUGGGAAACAAUUAUAGCGAAGGAAAAAGAGUACACAUGUUUAAUAAUACGCUUUUUGGUUGCCUCGUUAAAAAUCUUGCAAGGAAAACCCAAUGGGAUAAAACCUUAUAAGGGAAAAAGAGUACAACGCGUAUUAACUCACCCUGAUGAGAGCAUCAAUUCACAUCCUUAAGCCUUCGCAUCCCAAUCUUGUGCACUAGCUUCUUAAAUGUUAACGUCGGUAGAGAUUUGGUGAACAAAUCAGCCAUAUUACCACUUGAACGAAUCUGUUGCACAUUGAAAUCACCAUUCCUUUGAAGAUCAUGUGUGAAAAAUAACUUUGGUGAAAUGUGCUUUGUCCUAUCUCCUUUUAUGAAUCCUCCCUUCAAUUGGGUUAUGCAUGCAUGCUUCAUUGUCUUCAUACAAAAUGGUGGGUAGUUUGUCACACUUCAAACCAUAUUUUUCUCGAAUAAGAUGUAUUAUAGACCUCAAUCACACACAUUCUCGACUUGCUUCAUGACUAGCAAUUAUCUCUGCAUGAUUAGAUGAAGUAGCCAUGAUUGAUUGCUUGGUCGAUUGCCAAGAUAUGGCAGUGCCUCCAUAUGUAAACACAUAACCUGUUUGAGAUCGAGCCUUGUGUGGGUCAGAUAAAUAUUCAGCAUCGGCAUAACCAACAAGAUCAGGACUGCAAUCAUUGUCAUAAAAUAAGCCCAUAUCGAUAGUCCAUUUUAGAUACCGCAAUAUGUGUUUGAUUCCAUUGCAAUGUUUUUCUGUAGGAGCAGAGCUAUAUCUUGCUAAGUCAUUAAGUAAAAAGGUUAUGUCAGGCUUUGUAGUAUUAGCAAGAUACAUUAGUGCACCAAUUGCACUAAGAUAUGGUACUUCAGGAUCAAGAAGCUCUUCAUUCUUUUCUUGAGGUCAGAAUGGGUCCUUAUUCACAUCAAGUGAUCGAACAACCAUCGGAGUACGUAGUGGAUGUUCUCCAUCCAUGUAAAACCGUUUCAAUACCUUUUCUAUGUAGGCAGAUCGAUGAACAAAAAUCCUGUUUGCCAAAUGUUCAAUUUGGAAAUCGAGACAUAAUUUUGUCUUUUAGAGAUCUUUUGUAACGACCCGAUCGGUCGUUUUGCUUUCUAGAACCUCGUCCCUAAAUAAUACUCCCCGUACGUUCUUUUACUAUUUUAUGACUUGCGGAGAUGGCUAGUUCGGGAUUUGGAAGGGUUCGGGUUGAAAUCGGAAUACUUGGUUCCUUAAGAUUGGCCAAAAAGGCUAAGUUUGACUUCGGUUAACGUUUUGAAUAAACGACCUCAGAAUCGGGAUUUGACGGUUCCAAUAGGUUCGUAUGAUAUUUUGGACUUGGGCGUAUGUUCGGAUCGGGUUUUGGAUGACCCAGGAGCAUUGCAGCACCUAAUAGUGAAAGAUGGCUCUUUGAAGGUUUUUGUUACACCCUAUAUUUUCGUACGUAAAAGUGCAUCGUAAGCAAACUAAUGUAGGACCAAAAAUGAGAUCAUCUUUGAAAGUAUAUAAAGUAAGUUAAUCAUGUUACCCCGGAGGUUAAAAAUAUUGAUGAUCAUGAACAACAAGUACAAAGAGGGUUGGAAGGUUCAGAAGCUAAAGGAAUUGAAGAAAAUAAUAUUUCGUCGAAAGUCGACAAAUUGGGAAUGUUAUAACACGUACUUUUGGGGUGAGACUAGGGUGCUUAACAUGAUAAGGAGGUUAUGUUAUGAGUUAUGAGUUAUGUUAGUCGUAUGAUAGUCGUGUGUUAUGUUUUGAAGUCAAGCGAGUUGUGGAACAAAAGUUGAUGAAAGUCAUCACAAGUUACGUUCAUAAGUUUUACUGAAAUUUGAGUCAAAUGUAACUGCGCAUUUCUCCCAAUAUACUUAGAGUUACAGGGUGUUCCACCCAUAAAAUUGAAGAUCUAUUAGUCUAUUUUCUAACACAUUAAACUUUUUGUCAAUAUGACAUCGUAGUAGAGAGGUAUAUGCGUUUUUGCGAGACUGCACAAGCUGCUAGGUGACAAGUAGGUAUGUCACCUACUUGCUUAAAUGAGAGUCCGACAAUGGGCCAGUUCGGGUCGUCCAAAGAGACAUUUUAAAGGCCUAUUUCGUUCAUAUAAUACACUGAUAAUAGGGCACAAUAUCCAAACCUAAACCCCUUCAAACAUCUUCCCAAAAAUUACACACAAACCCUAAUUGAAUUUCUCUCCUUUUCAAGUUCUAGUUGGAGGUAAAACCUAGAGUUUGAAGAACCAAGAUAGCAUCUGAGUUAUUCAACAAAUAAGGUAAGUUUACCGAUCUCUUUUAUCCAUUUUUUCUGCUGGAGAUGCAUGGAAAGUCGUUUUAUAAUUGUAAGAACUCACGGGACGGUGAUAGGAAGCCGUGAGUUCGAGUGAUUCACUUGUAGCGGACUAUUUUGUGGACUGUUUUGAGUUGCUAUUGGAUUGCGUGUUUUACUACUAUUUUAUGGAGUUUUGGAGGAUUAUGGGUGUGGAGAAACACCACAUAAAUGUAGGGUGGUGGGCUGGUCGUUCGUCAUAAUAUUUUCAGGCUGUUUGACACUACUACGGUGGUCGUUUUGUGUAUGAAGAGAUUGGGGUGUGUUGGGCUGUUUUGUAGUAUUUUGUGGUGUAUAUAAGUUUGGAAAAUAAUGUAUAUAUGUUGAUAUUAUUAUGUUCUUAUGUUGUUAGUAUUAUCUUGAAUUUGUAGGAAGUAAGGAUUAUAGGGGAGAUGCUGCCCGUUUUAAUAUAAAAUAAGCUUGUCGUUCGUUGUGCAAUAGUUGUACCUUUCGUAACUUAAUGAUAGUAUUAUUAUUGUUGUUAUAGAUUAAGGUGCGAAGUGGCAAGUUUAAAUUGGUGAUUGGAAAGAUUGUGAUAAGGUAUGUUAAGGCUAAACCUUUCUUCAUUUUGGCAUGAUCCUGUAACUACAUGAGUUUGAUAACAAGGCAUAAAGAGAAGUUCGUAUUCCUGAACUUAUGUACAUUAUCCUAGUCUCAUAAGUUAUAAUAUUCUCCCUUAUCAGGACUUUAUAUUCAGUUAAAUAUUUUCUUCUUCCAGUCAAGAGGGCAGAGGGUCUCUAUAUAUAUAUAGUAUUACAGUAUUUUCACCACCAUCGAGCUAUAAUCGAUGGGUAGGCCCCUAUUGGGCAACCUUUUAUCAUAUGGUAAAUUAUAUACCGAGGCUAUUGUGGCCGAGCGACGAUGAGUGAGACCAUAAUGACCAAUAUACCUAGCCUAGUAUGGCCGAGCACAUAUGAGCGAGCCUACUAUAGCCGAGCAGUUACACGUACCUAGCCUUAUAGGACCGGACAUUUAUUUUACUUACUAUAUUGAGAGAGUUGAGUUAAUAUCAACAAGUAAGUAUAUCUCCAGAUCAUCCUUGACUCCCAGUUACUUUCAGUUAUUAUAUUAUCAGUUCAGUUUCAGCUUUAAGUUAUUUUAUUGUCUUAAAAACGCGAUACAUUAUUUCGUAUUGACGUCCCUUUUCGGGGGACGCUGUAUUUCAUGCAUGCAGGUUCAGAUAGAUAGACGGGUAGACCUUCUCAGUAGGUGUUGUCUGAGUUCAACUUGAUCGGUAAGCUCCACGUCCUUCGUAGUUGCCGAGUCUAGGGUUUUUCGUGUAUAUAUUGUGUAUAUAUAUAUAUGUAUGGGUAGGUCGAGGCCCUGUUACGAUCACAGUACAUCCAUCAGUAGAGGUUUGUAGAUAUAUCCUGUCAGUUAGUGCACCAUGUUGGGCUUGUAGGCUUUAUAUGUAUAUUUUGUUGAUUUGUGAGCAUUAGUAGUUAUGACGGCCUUGUCGGCUCAACUUUAUAGUGAUCUUUAGUCAAAGCUAGUUUCCGUUCUGUUUUAUAUUUUGCUUCGCAAAUCGUCUUGAAAUGUGGCCCCAUGGCCAAAUUAUGACAUUGUAUGUUCAGAGUCCCUCAGUCGCAAGUUGGUAUGCUAGGUUAAGUGAGGCACACGGUGUCGGUCUCUCCCCCAGGUUCGGGGCGUGACAAACUUGGUAUCAGAGCAGUUCUGUCCUAGGGAGUCUACAAGCCGUAUCUAGUAGGAUCUUGUGCACCACAUUAUAUAAGCAGGGAACUACAGGGCAUUUAGGAGUUGGUUGCCCUUCUUUCAAAUCUAAAUCGUGCUAUAGAACUGAGUUAUAGGAAAUUUGAGUUAAACUUACGUGUUGGUGUUUGCAUACACAGAUGACGAUGACUAGGAAGACUAUGGCUAGUCAGAGGAGAGACACAUCAGUGGGUGAGGGGACCAGCAGGGUACCCCCAAUAGAUAGGGCCCAGUCUGAGGUCCAGGGUGAGACCCCUACUCAACCAUUACUGGCUCCUCCACCACCCGAGGAGAUUCCUAGGGAUACCGCACAUCCAGUUCCCCCUCCACUUUCAUCAGAUCAGUACUUGCGGAGUGCAGUGCAUUUGUUGAUACAGUUGGUAGCUACCCAGCAACAGGCUAGGGCAUCAGCUAGUGCGGGAUCUUCUGAGGGGUCUGGAAGUUCAAGGGUCCGAGAGUUUAUUGCUUUGAGUCCCCCAGAGUUCACGGGGACAGAUCAGAGGGAGGACCCACAAGAUUUCAUAGAUCAGAUUUACAGGAUCUUUCGGGUUAUGCAUGCCACGGAGAAAGAGGCAGUUGAGCUAGCAGCUUUUUAAUUCCGAUAUAUAGCCAUCAUUUGGUACGAGGGAUGGGAGAGGUCCAGGGGACGUGAUGCACCUCCAGUUAUUUGGGAGAAUUUUUCAGAUGCCUUCCUUGACCAGUACUUACCGCGGGAGAUCCGACAGGCUCAAGCCGAUCAGUUUCUAGCCCUCAAGCAGGGCAAUAUGAGUGUCCGAGAGUAUAGUCUCCAUUUUGACUCAUUGGCCAGAUAUGCACCAUCCAUAGUUGCUACUAUGCGGGACAGGAUCCACAGGUUUAUCGCGGGGUUGGCCCAGAGUUGACCGAGGCAUGUGCCACCACUGCAUUGCAGGAUAUUAUGGAUAUCUCCCGGAUUCAGGCAUUCGUCCAGAAUAUAAAAAGGGAUAGGCAUCGGCAGCAGGGUACAAAGAGGACUGAGCAAGGACAGCGUAAGAGGAUGAGAUUUUCCAUGUCUCAAGAGCAGUCUCAGGGUAGUUAUAGGCCCCAGUACUUCAGACGGCCACCUAGGCCUUUGCCACCUCAGUUACAGGGUUACAGAUAUGACUGCUAUACUCAGUCAGGACCAGGUGAGAGCUCACGGGUGUCGGGUUUGCAGCGACAGCGAGAUUUAGGGUAGACAUGGUCAUUUCUACCGCAGUGUGACAUCUGUGGUAGAGGACACUUGGGACAAUGCCGAGCAAGUUCUGAUGCUUGUUAUACAUGUGGGGUGUCUGGGGCACAUGAUGCGAGAUUACCCAAAUAGAGAUUUUGGGGGUAUGGCACAACUAGCGAGUUCAGCAACAUGAUCAUCUAUGUCCGUGCAUCCUUUAGGGCAUGAGUCUUAGUCUUCGGCUGGCAGAGGUAGAGAUUUCAGUUCAGGUAGUAAUCAAAACCGUAUCUAUGAUUUAGCGGGUCGGCAGGACCAGGAGUCUUCACCAGACGUUGUGACAUGUAUAUUGACCAUUUGCUCACGAUGCUUAUGCCUUGAUAGAUCCAGGAUCUACUUUAUCGUAUAUUACCCCAUUUGUCACGGAGAAGUUUGGUGUAGUGCCUGAAGUACUAAGUGAUCCUUUUGCGGUAUCUACACCAGUCGGAGAACUAAUUAUUGCUAGACGGGUUUACCAAGGUUGUACGGUGAAAGUUUGUAGUCGUCGGACCUCAGGCGGCUUACUUGAGCUAGAGAUGAUAUAUUUUGAUGCUAUCAUGGGCAUAGACUGGCUGGCAGCUUGCUAUGCCACAGUUUAAUGCCGAGUAAAGGCAGCCAGAUUUCAUUUUCUGGGUGAGCCAGUCCUUGAAUGGGUAGGUAAUACAGUGACACCCAGAGGUAGGUUUAUUUCCUAUCUGAAGGCAAGAAAAAUGAUCGCAAAAGGGUGCAUUUAUCAUAUUGUACGAGUUAGAGAUGAAGAUGCUGGGAUAUGUACACUUCAGUCUAUUCCAGUAGUCAAAGAGUACGCAGAUGUGUUACCAGAUGGGCUUCCAGGUAUUCCUCCAGAGCGAGAGAUUUAUUUUAGCAUCGAUUUGCUUCCGGGAACUUAACCAAUAUCUAUCCCUCCGUAUAGAAUGGCACCUGCCGAAUUGAAGGAGUUGAAGGAGCAGUUAAAAGAUUUGAUGGAGAAAGGUUUCAUCAGACCCAGUACCUCGCCUUGGGGUGUACCAGUACUGUUUGCAGAAGAAAGACGGCCCGCUGAGGAUAUGUAUCGUUUAUAGGCAGCUGAACAAGGUAACCAUUAAGAAUAGGUAUCGACUUUCAAGGAUCGAUGACUUAUUUGAUCAGUUGCAGGGGGCUAGAUGUUUUUUAAAGAUUGAUUUGAGGUCGGGGUACCGCCAGGUCAAAGUUCGAGAGAAAGAUAUUCCAAAGACAGCCUUCAAGACCCGAAAUGGCCACUUCGAGUUCCUUGUCAUGUCCUUCGGGUUGACGAAUGCACCCGUCAUAUUUAUGGACUUGAUGAAUAGCGUAUUUCGGGCAUUUUUAGAUAUGUUCGUGAUAGUAUUUAUUAACACGUACUUUUAGGGAGAAACACCACAUAAAUGCAGGGUGGUGGUCUGGUCGUUCGUCAUAACAUCUUCGGGUUGUUUGACUCUACUACGGUGGUCGUUUUGUGUAUGAAGUGAUUGGGGUAUGUUGGGUUGUUUUGUAGUAUUUUGUGGUGUAUAUAAGGUUGGAAUAUAAUGUAUAUAUGUUUAUAUUGUUGUGUUCUUGUGUUGUUAGUAUUAUCAUGAAUUUGGAGGAAGUAAGGAUUAUAGGGGAGAUGUUCCCCGUUUUAAUACAAAAUAAGUUUGUCGUUUGUUGUGCGAUAGUUGUACCUUUCGUAACUUAAUGAUAGUAUUAUUAUUGUUGUUGUAGAUUAAGGUGCGAAGAGGCAAUUCAACUUGGCGAUUGAAAAGAUUGUGAUAAGGUAUGUUAAGGCCAAACCAUUCUUCAUUUUGGUAUGAUCCCGUAACUACAUGAGUUUGAUAACGAGGCAUAAAGAGAAGUUCGUAUUCCUAAAAUUAUGUACAUUAUCCUAGUCUCAUAAGUUACAUUAUUCUCCCUUAUAGGGACUUUAUAUUCAGUUAAGUAUUGUCUUCUUUCAGUAAAGAGGGUAGAGGGUAUAUAUAUAUACAGUAUUACAGUAUUUUCACCUCCAUCAAGCUAUAAUCGAUGGGCAGGCCCCUAUUGGGAAACCUCUGAUUAGAUGGUAAGUUAUAUACCGAGCCUACUGUGGCCGAGCGCCUAUGAGCGAUCCCGGAAUGGACGAGAUACCUAGCCUAGUAUGGCUGGGUGUCUAUGAGCGAGCCUACUAUGGCUGAGCAGUUACACGUAUCGAGCCUUAUAGGGCCGGACAUUUAUUUUACUUACUAUAUUGAGAGAGUUGAGUUAAUAUUAGCAGGUAAGUAUAUCUCCAGAUCAUCUUUGACUCCCAGAUACUUUCAGUUAUUAUAUUAUCAGUUUAGUUUCAGCUUUAAGUUAUUUUAUUUUCUUACAUACUCGGUACAUUAUUUCGUAUUGACGUCCCUUUUCUGGGGACGCUGAAUUUCAUACGUGCAGGUUCAUAUAGACACACGGGUAGACCUCCUCAGUAGGUGUUGCAUGAGUUCAACUUGAUCGGUAAUCUCCACGUCCUUCGGAGUUAUCGGGUCUAGGGUUUUGUGUACAUAUUGUGUAUAUAUGUAUAUAUGUUAUGGGUAGGUCAGGGCCCUGUUCCGAUCACAGAACAUCCAUCAGUAGAGGCUUGUAGACAUAUCCUGUCAGUUAGUACAACAUAUUGGGUUUGUAGGCUUUGUAUGUAUAUUUUGUUGGUUUGUCAUUAGUAGUAGUUAUGAUGGCCUUGUCGACCCAACUUUAUAUUGAUGUUUAAUCAAAGCUAGUUUCGGUUCUGUUUUAUAUUUUGCUUCGAAAAUUAUCUUGCAAUGUGGCCCCAUGGUCAAAGUAUGACAUUGUAUGUUCAGAGUUCCUCUGUCGCAAGUUGGUACGCUAGGUUAAGUGAGGCACCGGGUGUCGGUCUCUCCCCCAGGUUCAGGGCCUGAUGGUUUUAAAGUACUUCAAAUUUGGGUUGGAGUAGGUUUUGGUGUUAUUGAGGUCAAAUUGGGAUUCCGAGAUGGGGAAUAGUUCUGUAUGGUGAUAUAAGACUUGUCCGCAAAAUUUUGUAUCAUUCUGAGUAGUCUAAGUCUGAUUCAGCACUUUUCGAGCGAUUUGGAAACUUGAAGUUGAUAACUUGAUUCGAUUUGGUUUUGGGGUGUGAUUCUUGGUUUUGUUGUUGUUUUACGUGUUUCGAGAGUUCAAGCAGGUCCGUCUCAUAUUUAUGGACUUGUUGGUGUAUUUGGACAGGGUCCCGAGUGGCUCGGGGGUAUUUCGGACCGCCCGGAGGUGAGCUAGGAAAAACCAGAAAUUCCACUACUAGUUUCCUUCUUCGUGAAUGUGGAAGGACCCAUGCAUUCGCGAUGAAGGAUUUGGGCAAUGGGGCAAUUUUCCCUUCGCAUUCAUGAUAAAGGGUUCGCGUUCGCAGAGCCUUGAAGUCCGAGGCCUACGCGUUUGCGUAGAAGGAAGGGACCUGGGGAGGGUCAGUGCUAAUUUCUCUUCACGUUCGCGAAGGUUGCCUAGCGUUCGCGUAGGGCAGGGCUGGUACACCUCCGCGUUCGCGAGGCCCUAUUCGCAUUCGUGUAGACCAAGCUUUUCUGGGCCUAGCCGUUAGCCAUCACGAACAUGAGGCCUGUUCCGCAUUCGCGAAGAAGGGGCAGCUAGGCAGUGUGUUUUAAAAAUCGGGACUUAUCUAUUUUUGGGUUCAUUUAUUGUACUCUUGGGCGAUUUUAGAGCUUCAAAGGGGGGGUAUUUCAACCUAGCUAUUUAUAGUAAGUAAUUUCUACCUAAUGUGAGCUUAAUACAUAGAUUAUAGGUACAUUUUAACAUGUAAAUUUGUGAAAAUUAUGGGUUUAGAUGAAAAACCUAGGUUUUUGAUAAAAAUGGGAUUUAACCACGAAAAUGGUUAUGGAAUUUAGUAAAAAUCAUAUAUUUGGGUUCAUGAGGUUAUGAAUAACAACUUUCUUCAAAUAUUUCCGAAAUCCAAGCACGUGGGCCCGGGGGUAAAUUUAGGAAUUCUUCAAUUAGGGUUGGGAAAUCACUUUAAUAGUUAGGAUAUGAACGUUUGAACAUGUACUGACUAUUUUAUAUAAUAUUUGGAUAGUUUAGAGUCGUUUGGCACAGAGUUGAGGGUUUAAAGCAUAAUUGUGGACAGGAAAGUAAGCUUUGGGACGAGGUAAGUCUCUUUUCUAACCUUGUAAGAGGAAAUUAACCCCAUAGGUGAAUUGAAUUAAUAUGUGCUUCUAUUUGUGGGGGCUACGUACGCACGAGGUGACGAGAGUCCGUACGUAGCUACUAAUUAUGCUUAUGUCCCGGUAGUUUAGGAUCCAAAUCAUGUUAUACUUGCGAUGUUUGCACCCUACUUGUAAUUUAAUGCCUAAACCAUAUUGGAACUUGAUAAAGGAAUUGUAAAAGACCGAAUUUCAUUUACUUGAGUUUUGGACGGGUUACUUGACCGUUUUUGAGAAUUGGUGUUUUCCUUGAACAUUUGCCUCUUAAUAAUCUUUGAAUCGGUUGUUUAUAAAGUAUUUUCUCUUCUUGUGGAGCGGGCCGAACACCUCGGUAAUAGAAUAGAUGCAUCUAUGGUUCGUGCCGUUCGACCCUCGGCAGUGCACAAUUUAUAUAUUUAUAUGUUGGAUCGGGCCGUAUGACCUUAGCAUAAUUCCUGUGUAAUAAUUCUUGGAGCCCAAUUAUAAUUGAUAUUGUUUCAUUGGUUUGAGAGAUUGAUUUGUUAAAUGAUGGAAAUUAAUUUGGGAUUUACUAUUAGUGAAAGAAUUGUUUAUUUAUUUCUUAUUAUUGAGUUUUCAGCUAUAUUUUUAUAAUCCAUUCUUAAUUAUAAUUUCGGUAUUUAUUGUUAGCCCAUNNNNNNNNNNNNNNNNNNNNNNNNNNNNNNNNNNNNNNNNNNAUGUACUCACGCUACACUUCUGCUCUAAUCGUGCAGGAUCUGAGGCAGGUGCAUCUGGCUAUCAGUCCGGCACGCAUCCUUGAUUUCUUCGAGAUUUAGCGGUGAGCUACCUUCCGAGCCUGUUCCGCAGCACCCGAAGUAUUCCUUUUAUUUUUACUUUCUGUCUAUUUCACUUCAUACAGUAGUGUAGUAUUUGUAUAUUCAACUAGUAGCUCAUACACUUAUGACACCUGGUCUUGGAGAUCAUGCUAGUAGACACAUGAUGAUUUUUGGAUAUUUACUCAUCUCAUUUGCUCUUAAAAUUAUUUAUCUCUCAUUUUAUUUAAACUUUUAUUUCCUAUUUAUGCACUAAAUAAAAAUCAGCUAUUUCAAAAAUGUUAAAAGAAACAAUCACAUGGUUAGUUCACUGUUGGCUUGCCUAGCGAUAACGUUGAGAGCCAUCACGGCAUAUAGAAGGAAUUGGGUCGUGGCAAUAUGGUAUCAGAGCACUAGGUUCACGUAGGUCUCACAAGUUAUGAGCAGGCCUAAUAAAGUCUUGCGGAUCGGUGCGGAGACGUCCAUACUU